rnacentral:rRNA from 1 species
GACGUGGGGGGCGAGCGUUGUCCGGAUUCAUUGGGCGUAAAGAGCGCGUAGGCGGCCCGGAAAGUGGGGUGUGAAAACCCGAGGCUCAACCUCGGGCGUGCACUCCAAACUCCCGGGCUUGAGGCAGGUAGGGGAGAUCGGAAUUCCUGGUGUAGCGGUGAAAUGCGCAGAUAUCAGGAGGAACACCGGUGGCGAAGGCGGAUCUCUGGGCCUGUUCUGACGCUGAGGCGCGAAAGCUAGGGGAGCGAACAGG